GGACUACACGGGUAUCUAAUCCUGUUUGAUCCCCACACUUUCGUGCCUCAGCGUCAAAGAUAGUUUAGUGACCUGCCUGCGCUAUCGAUAUUCUGUGUGAUAUCUAAGCAUUUCACCGCUACACCACACAUUCCGAUCACUUCAUCUAUUUUCUAGCCUAUCAGUAUCAACGGCAAUUUUACAGUUAAGCUGCAAACUUUCACCGCUGACUUAAUAAGCCGCCUACGCACCCUUUAAACCCAAUAAAUCCGGAUAACGCUCGCAUCCUCCGUAUUACCGCGGCGGCUGGCAC
rnacentral:rRNA from 1 species